UACGUAGGGUGCAAGCGUUUGUCCGGAAUUAUUGGGCGUAAAGAGCUUGUAGGCGGUUUGUCGCGUCUGCUGUGAAAUUUCGGGGCUCAACCCCGAACUUGCAGUGGGUACGGGCAGACUAGAGUGUGGUAGGGGGAGACUGGAAUUCCUGGUGUAGCGGUGAAAUGCGCAGAUAUCAGGAGGAACACCCGAUGGCGAAGGCGGGGUCUCCGGCGGCGACUG
rnacentral:rRNA from 1 species